AGUGAACGCUGGCGGUAGGCCUAACACAUGCAAGUCGAACGGCAGCACAGUAAGAGCUUGCUCUUACGGGUGGCGAGUGGCGGACGGGUGAGGUAUACAUCGGAAUCUACUUUUUCGUGGGGGAUAACGUAGGGAAACUUACGCUAAUACAGAAUACGACCUACGGGUGAAAGCAUUGGAUCAUUGGAUUUUGCGCGAGUGAAUGAGACGACGUAGGAUUUGCUAGUUGGCGGGGUAACGGCCCACUACGGCGACGAGUCGUAGCUGACCUGAGAGGAUGAUCGUACCCAGUCGGACUGGGAGACCGUCCAGACUCGUACGGGAGGACGCAGUGAAGACUUUUGGAAAAUGGCAGCAAGCCUGAUCGAGCCAUACCGCGUGGGUGAAGAAGGCCUCCGCGUGGUAAGGCUCUCUUGUUGGGAAAGAAAAGCAGCAGGUUAAAACCCCGCUGUUCUGACGUAACCCAAAGAAUAAGCACCGGCAACCUUCGU
rnacentral:rRNA from 1 species